GGUAAUUGUAAAAAGUAUAUUCACAAACAAAUUUGUUGGAACCGUGCAAAAUUGUGUUUCUAAAUCGUGAAAUCUUUUUUCAAUAUAAUAUGCAAAAGAGAGUCAGUCUAAUACACCCAAACCUGAAUUGGGGCUGAGGUAAGACUCUCCACUAUCACCUCUUCACCACCAUCACCCACCUUAAAUGAAUACCAGAAUGGUACACAUGGAUAUUCUGGGAAUGCUGCUGCAACUGCUCUUGCACCUGCUUCAUUAGUAUAAUGAGACAAUCCAACAAAAAAUUCACGACCUGUAAUAAUCAGUUACUUCUGUUUAGUAAUUUGGUUGCGCGAUGGUUCAUUGGGCCGUGCUAUAAGUGCAAUACCAUUGCACACAACUGCGAUAUCUUCGACAAAAACACAGAGCGGUGAAUUUUCAUCCGGUGGCAUUUCAACAACGUCGAUGUCAAGUUCUCGUAGAAGCUGAGCAAGUGCCAAAUGUUGAGUUCUAGCUUCGUCUAAUGUGACCUCGCCUCUUGUACGAAGCGAAAGAGGAAUUCUACAUAGAA